rnacentral:rRNA from 1 species
GACGAACGCUGGCGGCGUGCCUAAUACAUGCAAGUCGAACGAGAGCGACCGGUGCUUGCACUGGUCAAUCUAGUGGCGAACGGGUGAGUAACACGUGGGUAACCUGCCCAUCAGAGGGGGAUAACAUCCGGAAACGGAUGCUAAAACCGCAUAGGUCUUCGAACCGCAUGGUUGGAAGAGGAAAAGAGGCGCAAGCUUCUGCUGAUGGAUGGACCCGCGGUGCAUUAGCUAGUUGGUGAGGUAACGGCUCACCAAGGCCGUGAUGCAUAGCCGACCUGAGAGGGUGAUCGGCCACAUUGGGACUGAGACACGGCCCAAACUCCUACGGGAGGCAGCAGUAGGGAAUCUUCCGCAAUGGACGCAAGUCUGACGGAGCAACGCCGCGUGAGUGAAGAAGGUUUUCGGAUCGUAAAACUCUGUUGUUAGAGAAGAACAAGUGCUAGAGUAACUGUUAGCGCCUUGACGGUAUCUAACCAGAAAGCCACGGCUAACUACGUG